UACGGGAGGCAGCAGUGGGGAAUAUUGCACAAUGGGCGCAAGCCUGAUGCAGCCAUGCCGCGUGUAUGAAGAAGGCCUUCGGGUUGUAAAGUACUUUUCAGUCGUGAGGAAGGUGUUAAGGUUAAUAACCUUAGCAAUUGACGUUAGCGACAGAAGAAGCACCGGCUAACUCCGUGCCAGCAGCCGCGGUAAUACGGAGGGUGCGAGCGUUAAUCGGAAUUACUGGGCGUAAAGGGCACGCAGGCGGUUAAUUAAGUUGGAUGUGAAAUCCCCGGGCUUAACCUGGGAAUGGCAUUCAAGACUGGUUAGCUAGAGUCUUGUAGAGGGGGUAGAAUUCCAUGUGUAGCGGUGAAAUGCGUAGAGAUGUGGAGGAAUACCGGUGGCGAAGGCGGCCCCUGGACAAAGACUGACGCUCAUGUGCGAAAGCGUGGGGAGCAAACAGGGAUUAGAUACC
rnacentral:rRNA from 1 species